UACGUAGGGUGCGAGCGUUAAUCGGAAUUACUGGGCGUAAAGCGUGCGCAGGCGGUUUCACAAGCUCGAUGUGAAAGCCCCGGGCUUAACCUGGGAAUGGCAUUGAGGACUGUGGAGCUUGAGUGCGGCAGAGGGAGGUGGAAUUCCACGUGUAGCAGUGAAAUGCGUAGAGAUGUGGAGGAACACCGAUGGCGAAGGCAGCCUCCUGGGCCGACACUGACGCUCAUGCACGAAAGCGUGGGGAG
rnacentral:rRNA from 1 species